rnacentral:lncRNA from 1 species
CUUCGAUCCAUUUUAUGUGUCGUCAUUUAACCGGGCAUGGAGUUUAAAAAAAAGGAAAGACUUGGUAAAGUUUACCAAAUUAUUCUUUAUCAAAAAAUGUGUCAAUAUCUUUUUCUUUUUUAAUUAAAUGAGACCAAUAAGGAUAAAAAAGUAAUUGUGUCUUUAAAAAGUUGUCUAAUAAGGAAAGACGAUACUUAUUUUGAGACUUACUAAAAAGAAAAUGAUGACACAUAAUUUAAGACGGAAGAAGUAUUUUUUUAGCCGAUCUUAUGAUGUAUCUUCAUGUCCUUCACCACUCUAUUUUUCACAUCCUCAAUCUGCAGGUUGCAUCUGCCAUUAACAUCAUAAAAAUACUUCCUCCAUCGAGAUUUUUCAUUAAUUAAAUCACGCACAGCAACCAACGAAACCCACCAGCACUUCCAACUAUUGUUUCUAAAUCGAGAGUGUCAUCAGUCGAGGUCGUUGAUUAAUUCUCCGCUCACCGUAGCUCCUGAUCAAGCGGAGGAGGUUUGAGAUUAAUUCUUCGGUCCUCGAUGAGGAGGAGUGUAAGGUCGACAUCAAGAAAUGCACGGUUGUAGCUUGUAUAGAUCUGAUUGAUUUUCAUUUUCUGUUACUAACUGUUACAUAUCAGAUAUAUACUAUUCAAUGGCCUUAUUUAUAUUUUUUUAGACUUCACCUUGUC